CUCGGUUCGGAGAAAGUCGGUGCGUAUUCGUUCACAUCAGAGACUGUGAUGUGAACGGUGGCACUGUAAACAACAAAAAACAUAUUCAAUAAAUAAAUUGUUGCGGUUUUGUGGGUGACGUUUGUGGACAUGAUCGAGUAUGAAAACGUACACUCUAUAGAAAUGGACGACGCAGAUGUGGGUAAUUCCCGAACAAGGAAAAGAGUUAAAGCUCUUCUAUUUUACUUGUUUGUUGUGUUUAUGGGAAGUUUCCUAUUAAUUUUAAUUUGUUUCAUUUUUUACAAAACAAUUAAUUCGUAUAAUUAAAACGGUUUUCCCCAAA